AGCGAACGCUGGCGGCAUGCUUAACACAUGCAAGUCGCACGGGCAGGGGGCAACUCUGUCAGUGGCGGACGGGUGAGUAACGCGUAGGUAUCUAUCCUUGGGGUGGGGGACGAACCGUACGGGAAACGUAACGGCUAAUACCGUAUGAUGACUGAGGUCCAAAGCCCGCGAGGGUGGCCUGGGAGGAGCCUGCGUACGAUUAGCUUGUUGGUGGGGUAAAGGCUUACCAAGGCGAUGAUCGUUAGCUGGUCUGAGAGGAUGAUCAGCCACAUUGGGACUGAGACACGGCCCAAACUCCUACGGGAGGCAGCAGUGGGGAAUAUUGGACAAUGGGCGCAAGCCUGAUCCAGCAAUGCCGCGUGUGUGAAGAAGGUCUUCGG
rnacentral:rRNA from 1 species